rnacentral:rRNA from 1 species
GUGUCAGCCGCCGCGGUAACACGUAGGUCGCGAGCGUUAUCCGGAUUUACUGGGCGUAAAGCGCUUGUAGGCGGUUCUGUAAGUCGGGCGUGAAAUCUCCGGGCUUAACCCGGAGUGGCCGUUCGAUACUGCAGGGCUUGAGGAUGCUAGAGGGUGGUGGAAUUCCAGGUGUAGUGGUGAAAUGCGUAGAUAUCUGGAGGAACAUCCGUGGCGAAGGCGGCCACCUGGGGCAUUCCUGACGCUGAGAAGCGACAGCUAGGGGAUCAAACGGGAUUAGAAACCCCAGUAGUCC